AGCCUUAUAUUCAAUAAUGAUAUAAAAUUGCAAAUUUUAAGGAGUAAAUUUAAAUAUACUAAGGCUU
rnacentral:tRNA from 1 species